CUCAUUGACUCGACCUUGUUCAGGGAGAGUACAAUAUGCAGUAUUCCUGGGAAUCGCUAGAUGGUGCACACAUACAAAGAAAAGAAAAGCAAAGCAUGAUGGGACCUCACGUGAUGACGCCCCUUCCCAAUCAUCAUUUCCUUUUGUGCUUCGCGCAAGGUGCACGCAUCGAGUUUGCUCCGGUACGAUCCGGUAGUGACUCAGUUUUUCGUUGUUGGAAUCAAGUGGUGGAGCUGCGGGCUACGAGAAGAACCACUUUCGGCGCACCAUGCCGCCGAUUGGGUAAGCCCCUAUCGGCCGGCUACUAUCGUCGCAGCAGGCCGUAAGACCGGGAAGGGUGAAAAGCCCCUAUCGGCGGGCUACUAUCGGUACUGGCGGUCGAGCUUAGCGCUCAAGGCUUGCCAGGCGCUGGGAAGGACCAAAAGGCCCUUUCGGCGCAACAUGCACGGGAAGAAUUGGCCAAGCAUGCCGUAGAACCUGGAGGUUAUCGGCGAGGCUACGUAUACAGACGGCCGUCAUACCUUGUGCCUUACACGGAGCUGGCAUUAUCGGCGCACCAGGCCGAAAAACCUGGAGGAUAGCGCAGCCACAGACGGCCGCUAUGGCCAUGGUGCCCGAGGUUGAGGCACUGGCCCUUUCGGUGCAGCAGGCACGGAGAAUUGAGGUAAUACCCCACGUUCUUUGCGCCAGGUGACGCUAAAGAUUCGAGAACGGUGGAAGACUGUUCUCGCGGCUCCAUCCAUAUUCAGAAGGAGCGGCAGCCGCCGUGCCACGUGGGCCGGUCGGGGUAAUCGACAUCUCAAUGGAACUGUAAGUAGAUUACGGGCUCCGGUCGCUCCGUUAUGGUUGCUCGGAUAAGCUUCCAUGUUGAACACGCUGUUAGGCAUGUUGCCGUUGCAUUCUACGCUCGUCAAGGAGGAGCGUCCAGCAGUUUUCCCCAUAAUUUAAAGUCGUUUUAUGAGCGGUUGACUUAGGAAAGACGUCAAUCGGCACAGAAAGGGGCCUCCCCUUCUUCUUCUGCUGACUAUGAUACGUCGCAGUUGUCUGACAAGAGAAGCUCCAGGUGAAUAAAAUAUUGGGAGCUUAUGUUAAAGCUUGUCCCUGAGGGAAGCUUUUUUAUGGCAAUAAAGUUAUCAAUUACUUAGCCAUACUAGAAAUGUGUGUCCGUAAUUAGCAUUAUCAUGGAGAAUGCUCCACAAAGACAAUUGACGAAAUUGAAUUCGUCUGGGACGUUGUGUGACUGGUCACGCACGUAGUUAAUACACAUGUAUGUUCAACGUCUGGCUCUUUGUUGUUACUUAGACAACAAGAUUUAACAUGUUCAUGUUGACGAGUCUAACAUGUUUUUGGUAGUCUUGAUAGAAUAUUGUUCUAUACGAGGAACACGUGCCCUUUCUAAUAAACCAUUGUUAUGCAAACAAUGCAAACAUUGCGAAUGCUGUCGGCAAAUGGUCGGCGGUAUUCCUCCGAACUCCGCUCACUCAGGAUUGACCGUCCCGGGCGUGGUUGCGGAGCAUUCUUAUGAUUCUACUUCUUCCUGGUAAGUAUGUUCCAGAAGAUGGGAAGAAGGAGCUCUGUGUGCUUCACGGAACUUCAGGAUGAAGAAAAUAUUAACCACGUUCUUUAACUGGUUGAUUAACUAUUAUAUGCCGACCAUCUGAGCAUUUGUAUACAGUUGCUCGCCACGUGCUCGUCCUGGACUGGCGGGGAUGCCCAGUCACCAGAGCAGGGGCUAUUGAGUAGCCAAUCAGGUAACUUAUCCUUGAUCCAAUCAAGGACACUACCGUUCGAAUAUUGUGGACGCUCAAUACCUCGUAUGCAGGUGUGAAACCUGUUAUUCUUACCAGUAGACUUACGGUCCUAGUUACCGAAUCCACAAGCACUUAGUCGGAUGUUUAUAAAUACCGAUGGCUAAUGUUGUAUCAGAAGUGCGAUUCUUGUUUAAAUCGCUAGAGGACCCCAUUAAAGGGUCAAAAGGUCAUUGGAACGUGCUGGUAACAUUUUGGCCGCCAUAAUUUACGUUCCAGGCUCAGCUAUAGACCAGUGUUUUUACACGUUUUACGUUAUCGGGAACAUCACAUUGGUUGAAUCCGACUGAAAGUCCAUUAUCAGCGUAACGUUCAGUGGUGUCAUGGGUUUUUAAAAGCAACCCGCCUUUUAUCUUGUCGGCAUGAACGCCCCCCGAUGUUCCAUUCAUAAUUUUCGGGAAAUCGGUGGCCCUGUUUUUGAGGAGGGGCCUCGAGUACGCAAUUCAGCCGCCUUACAUUAACUUAGCUACCUUUCUGGCUGCUAAUUUUACACUAGUAGUUAAUUGGUUACGUGUACAGCGGUAAUCUGAAGUCAAGGGGCAAAACGCCUUGCUACAUGUACCAUCAUGAACGGUGAACUUCAAGUUUCGGAACUCUUGUUCUGAAUUGGCGCCGCUGCCCGAGCUUGAUACGUCUCCACAACUAUCGCUAAUAUGGUUGAGUUGUGCGGAGAAAUUGUGCAGACAAUUUUGCUUACAUUUACAUUAUGUUUUGUUCAUGUUUUGUGGCUUAUUAUUAGCGUUAAGCUACUGCUGGCGCUUCUACGGACGGAAAAAGUCCGUCGCCCUUCUUCUUCACAUGGUGUUGAAGUAGCACAAUGUGUUCCUUUUAAGUUCACAGGUAACUUACAACAGAGUUGUAGAACAUGUUACACAUAACCAUGAUCAAAACUGAUCAUGGCAGACAUUGCAGAGAAGAUCAAUUUAAUUAUCUUGUGCAGUCUUUGCACACAGACUAACGUUUAAUAGACGUUGUUGCAUUGUUACCAUCUGGGUUUUUAUCAUACUAUCCAGCUGGUCAGUAUUCUGAAGCAUAUGUGGUGUGAUCAAUAUGAUGAGAUAUGUGAUCAAUAUGAUGAGACAGGUGAUGUGAUCAAUAUGAUGAGACAUGUGAUGUGAUCAAUAUGAUGAGGCAUAUGAUGUGAUCAAUAUGAUGAGACAUAUGAUGUGAUCAAUAUGAUGAGAUAUGUGAUGUGAUCAAUAUGAUGGCACGUGAUGGGAUUAAUACGAUGAAACUGGUGAUGUUUUUCAUACUAUGUCAACCCUUAUAGUCUUGCUGGUGUCUGCAACAUGACGAAGGCCCACAAUGUGCCUUGUCCUUCAGUACUACUAUUGAUGUCAGUUGAUAUUGACAUAUUGCAAGUACUUCUUGCUAUUAAUGUUUCUUAGUGAAAUAUACAAGUUCACACGUUAAGGGUGGAACUGUACUCAUGUGUGAGUGUAAAAAGUUCACUGUUAAAUUAGGUGUUGGGGAACAAUGUAAGUUACCAGACACCUUUCUGAACUUCACUAUCCCAAGCUUCCGGUAGGUGAUUGGUGACAAGUGAGCCAUGCAAUUUAGGCUCACAAGGCUGGCUUCUGGCAGCCUGCAAUCCACUUGACUGGAAACAUUAAAAUGUGGUGUUGAGUUACCAAAAUUGGUACUCACUUCGAUUGUAUUUGUAAAGAUUGCCUUUACCACAGAUGAGGCUCCUACUUGUUACAAGUUCAGUAUGUUGUUACACACGUUAUGGGGAUUCCGGAGGAAUCUAACACAGUUGACUUCAUGUUUUGCAUGAACCACACCAAUUCAAAUGUAUUAUUGGUAUGUUGGUACUCUUUGGUUUAUUUAGAGCCACAGUUAGCUUGAAUUUCAGCUAUUGUUUCCUGUGGUCGAUACACUGUAGAUGGCUUGGGCGCUCUUAUAUUAGCCCAGUCGUUCAACACAUGCAUGCUAUACAUUGCCUUACCUUACAUUGUACCCGUUACAAUUGUUGUGCAAUAAACAUUGAUUUGUUUUA